rnacentral:rRNA from 1 species
GAUGAACGUUGGCGGCGUGCCUAACACAUGCAAGUCGAACGCUAGUAGCAAUAUUAGAGUGGCGCACGGGUGAGUAACACGUAGCUUACCCACCUCCCAGCGCGGGAUAACGGUUCGAAAGAACUGCUAAUACCGCAUAAGCUCACGGGCUAUAGAGGCUGGUGAGAAAAGGCUUAGGUCACUGGGGAGCGGGGGCGUGCGGCCCAUCAGCUGGUUGGUGAGGUAACGGCUUACCAAGGCGACGAC